GCAUGUGAGCGCACAGGGAGGUCCGGAGCAGCAAGCUUGGGAGCGCCUUGCACUCUCUCUGCUUUGACCGAGCGCCUUGCUGUGUAUAACAGGACCCUCGACUUUUCCACCAGCUUGUCCACUGAUGAAAAGGAGAAGCCAGUCAGGAAUCAGGUUUGUGCUGACAUUUCCUUGAGCCCUUUUGCUAGAAGCAAACAGAGGCUGGGCUCCUGGCUCCACUUCUUCUCUUCCUGGCUGUGCAACCUCAAGCAAUAUUCCUUUUA
rnacentral:lncRNA from 1 species